rnacentral:tRNA from 1 species
GAGGGUAGAGCUCAGUGGCAAAGCACAUGCCUAGCAAGCACGAGGUCCUGGGUUCCAUCCCCAGUGCUGCCA